AGACGGGGGUGGAGAGCGCCGAGUCAGAAGAGAGCUGAAAUGGCGGAGGUUGGGAGUCCAUGCUUUGACUCUGUUUGUAAACUCUUUCAUCGUUUAAGCGAUUAAAUCUCUCGAGUAGACGCUGUCUCUUUAGAUGCGAGGGCAAAAUAGCACUUUAUGGUCAUCAUGUUUAAUACGGUUCCGGCAAAAUCCAGUCAGAAGUUGUUUGUAAGUUCACAGAGUUUUCACAAUGACUGCUUCAUGAACCAAAGCUGGAUUUGCGCGACGUCUCCUCCUGAAAGUUGGAUUACUGUGCACUUCUGGAUCACAGGCUAUUCGCAGCUGGACACAUCCUUCUACACUGUAGGCAGCAGUAGACGUGAUGUAUAAUGCCAAACAUGCAACAUCAUUACACACAGUACAAGGAGUCAGACUGGCAUAUGAGGAGCAAAGGAACCCAGGCAGUAGCAUCGUUUCACAAUGUUUCCAUCACCAUCAUCAGUGGAUGCCUUUGCCGUCCGUAGCCUGAGAUUUCAGAUUUGCAGCAAAAAAAUUGAUUUUCCCAUUUAUUGGAAUGCUGUGCAGGUUGUACCUUGCAGCCAUCCAUUACAAUGUCACCAAGCCGUAACAAAAGCAGGACAGGGAAAGUACAAGGUUAUGUUCCCAAAAAACACAAGCGACAUACUAUAUGUGGAUGAUGUGAUCAGGCUUGUGUUUGAUGAGGUUUUGAAGAUAAGCUGAAGGAAACCCCGAUUCCAAUGGACCUGGCAUCACAGUUUGAGAGACCUUCAAAGGAGGACGUGAUUGCAUGCCAUCUCACGCGCUUCAGUGCAGGGGUCGUCUGAAGCCAACAUACUGACCAGUCUGAUCAGGAAGCUCCAAGCGUAUCUGGAGAACAACACACGACAGGAUGAUAACCUUACUGUAUAGUGUCGUCUUAGAUAGCAUCAGCUGACAAAGCCUUGAUAUACCAUUUAUCUGUAUAGAUAGCUGUAAGAAGUGAAUUGAACAAUUUUUGAAAGAAGAGCACAAUAUGGUUAACAUUUAAAUAUAUAUUUGUAAUAAAUAAAAAACCUUUUGACUGAGUACUAUAUUUUCUUUGUUACAUCUUUUGUUCUUUUGGGUACUUUGCUACUAUAAUGCUACUUUAGUGUUAUUAGUUUAAAAAUGUAAUAAAACUUAUAAACACUUACUCUAGUGUCCUGCGCCUCAAAGGCUUAUAGUCGGUACAAUAAAUGUUCUGUGUGUAGGGAUUUACAUAAUUUGUGCAAAACCUGGAUGAUGAAUCACGCACGUAAGAGGCCCUGGAACCUGUUGCA